UUUUUUCUUUUCUCUUCUUCUUCUUUUUGGCCAAUAUCUAUAAUUAUUGUUCUUCUUUCAUCUUCAUUGUUGUGCUUCUUGCGUUAUUACUAUUCUUAUUUAUAAUUCUGCACUUUAUGGUAUAAAAAAAAAGAUCAAAAAGUAAAAAAAAAAAAGAGAGAAAAUCAAAGGCUAAAAAAAAAAAGUGAAAAUCAAAGGUCAAAAAAAAAAAAGAGAUCAGAAUUAGAAAAAAAAAAUUUACGAAUUCAAAGAAUACUUGCAAGUUACAGAAUUUGAUCUUUGUUCAUUUGAAUUUCUAUUUCAAUUUGGAAAAUCUUUCUUCAUUCCUAAAAAAAAA
rnacentral:lncRNA from 1 species